rnacentral:lncRNA from 1 species
CAAUAUUAUUUGACAAAAUGCAAAGGAAUAAUGAUAAAUGCGAUGUUUGCGGUAAUAAUAAUUUCAGCGUCAUGGAUGGGGCAUUCAUAUGCGACGAAUGUGGAAUACAAUCUCAAGUAAGUUUUAACAAUCUCAUGAUAUAACAGUGAAACUUCUGAAUGGCUGACAUUGAAUCACUCAAAUUGUAAUUGCUUUUCAGAGGGUGUAAAUGUUUGAAAUUCAUGAAUAUUAAAUUAUUUUGAAAGAUUGAUUAUCAUUAAUGUAUAAUUUACUACAUAAAUAGUAGGUAUAUAUAAAAUAAAAUUGAGGGAAAAAUAAGACUGACCAAAAACCAUACUUGGAAAAAGAAUCCAAAAAACCAUAAAUAUGUAUUAUACUUAUUGUUUUAAGUUAUUAAAAAUAAUUUUUUAAAAGCAUAAUGUUCAUGUAUUAUCAGUUUUAUCAGGUAUUAGUGUUUACAAAAAAAAAAUUAAUUUAAAAAAAUGUGAUAGGUAAUUAAUAGGUAAUUUAAAAAUACAAAAUACUUAUUUAGUUAUUUUCUAUUUGCACGCAAAAAUUUUGUAAGCAGUUGUCCAUUUUUGUUACCACUAUAUUAUUUAAUGCCAAUUUUAAAAACAGAAUAAUAUGAUAUGUGUAAUGUAGGUACCUCUAAGGAAAAUCUAUCUGUAUAAUAUUUAUCUUAUUUCUGAUUUAUUGCUUAAAAAUCUUCAAUAUGUACUUUUAUUGGUCAUCUAUUAAUCUGUAAAUAUAUUAGAUACCUAUAUUUGAUAAAUAUACACAAAAAACUAACAAGUAUUGUAAAAAUUUUAAUCGUAGUAAGUCAUAACAUACAAAAAUCAUGCUUUUAAAAAAUUAUUUUUAAACUGCCUGUGUUUUUUAUUAACUCAAAAAGUAUAAUAAAUAUUUAUGGUUUUUUUUUAUUAUUAAAAAAAUGUAUGUAUUAAUUUACAACGGUUUUUUUUUUUUUUGGAAGUUUUUUUCCUAAUACCAUGAAAAAAAUUGAUCAGCUGCAUAAAUAUUCUAUUUGGGGAGAAAACUUUAGGGUUGAAGUCCGGCUAAAUUCUGUGUACCUCGUAUGACCAAUAUCACUCGAUUGAAUUUUUGAUUUUCCAAUUUAGAUAUGUCUAGUUUAAAGAUGUGUAUUAGUAAAGUUUCAUCAUUCACACACUGUCUGGCUUUCGGGUGUUAAAACUAUAGUUAAAAAAAAAAAAAAUACUGUAGAGGUGUUCUAUUAAUAUAAUAUAAUUAAUAUAAUUAAUAUGACCUUAUGGCAGUCAUAAUUUUCAGUUUUUAUAUUUUAAAUACUUUUAUAUAACAUUUUGUUAGGCAAUGAAAAAAAAGUAUUGAAAUCUCGUUUAUAUUUUUGCAGGAAAUUCUGACUAGAACAUUUAUAAGUUAAGGAAAUAAAAUGAAAAAUAUAGGGGUGAUUUUUAGAUAUUUAUUUUUUUAUUUCCCCAAAAGCCAGGUUUCAACCAAAUUCGGUCCUUGACUUUGUAAAUUUCAUCUUUAUUUGAGAUCUAAUAUAUUUUCCAAUUCAACAUUUUUUAUUAUUUUAACAGAAAUCAAGAAUAACAAAUUGUUCGCUUAGAGAUAAUCAGGUUAGUUACCCUGCCACUCCAGUCUUUUCAAUGUCUGGACUUUUCAUUUUUAUUUAAUUUUUUACCAAUGAUUGUACCUACUAUAAUUGCUUUUAAAGAGUUGGACUUUGUAAAGCACAUUAUAUCCAAGUUUCACUUCUCUACUUGAUUAAAAACAAUUUAAUUUUCUCUGGUACAUUUGAUUCUUGAAUACUCUUCAGUAUUAUGGGACCCUCACACUGCAAUGCUCCCGAGUUGGUGAGAGCACAAUGACAUUUCUUCUUCUUUGCAGAUCAUGGUCUAGGUAUCAAACACCUCAGCACAAUUAUUCCAAUGUUCGACACUAUUUUGGGCUGUCAGAUGAGUGUCAGCUAACCUAUCGUUUUUGAGUAAGUUGAUUAAUAGCACAAUAUUGAUGCACCAUCACUCUUAUCCCAAGUGAACUUCAAGAUUCUUUCACGCUUCUUGUGAAUCUUUCUCCCCUUUGUAGUUCCUUUGAAUACCACAAACUAUGCUCGUAACCACCCUGAUCAUUACAUGAUGCAUCUUGCUAAUGAGCACUUAUCUUUAUGUUCUUGUACAUUUUGAACUUUAGUCUGUUUUGUAUAAGUAAAAUAAAAUAACUUUUACCCAUUUGUAUCUAAAUAUUUCUCACUGAAAAUUUUUUCCUAUAGGGUACCAGGGUACUGUUACUCCAGUACCACCACUACCUAAAAAUGUACUAUUUACAUUUUUUUUUUUUAUAUAAUUGUACUAUAAUUUGUACCAAUUUGUACUACCAAGGUCAGAAUACCUUAAUAUUUUUGUCUUUAAUAUAAAAAAAUAUUAAAAUUUUUGUUGAAACUUUUAAAAUGUAUUAUUUAAAAUAAAAUCAAAAAUGUUGUCUUAAAAAUAGUUUUUAAUAUUUCUUUUUUACUUUGUAUGUAGUAACUUCAGUAACUCAAAAUUAUUUUUAUUGGUUUCUUGAUUUGCUCUCUGAUUUGUAGUACCGAGCUCAUAAUUUGUACAAGAAUAUUUCCCACUAAAAAAUGUUUGUAGUAAAAUUUUUUAAGUAACUGGUGCUACCCUGGUACCCCAAAGAAAAAAUUAAUUUUAUAGCGAGAAAUACUCUGGUGUAAAUUCUGAACUUGGUGAUACAAUGUAAUAAAAAUAAAUUGAAAAGUCCAGACAUUGGGGUGCCCAUAUAACCCACCUGCAACAAUCUCUUUCACUUUAACACACCCGUUUAAUUGAAAAUGUAUUAUAAACAAAACAAAAAUACAAAACAUUAGCAGUCAAGACAUUGAUAUUUCCGUAAUCUUAUCUUAUUGAUAAGUAUCAACUUGAAUAUUCUAUGUUACAAAUUAUUUUUAAAACAAAACGAAAAUGUUUAAAUGUGUGAGUGUAGUCAAUAAUUAAAACAUACUGAAUGUUCUACACCAGAAUAAUAUACUUUAAAAUGUAUGCCUUAACAUAUUUGUGUUAUUGUACAUGUUUGUUAUAUAUCUGGAACCAACAAUAGUAUUGUGGACCCUUGACAUAAAUGCAGGGGAUCUUGAUUUAUAUUUUAAGUAUUGAAAUCGUAUACAAUAAAAACAAAUAUUAUUUACAUUCACAUAUUUUUAUCAUACAAAUAAUACAACUGGUUUAACAUUAUAAUUCAUAUAUACAAUUUAAAAAAAAAAUGAUUUUCAAAAUUUAAAUUAAAUAAUAGGUUUACUUGUAUUUGACUGGUUACUUUUACAGACCAUAAGAGAAGAACAAAUUAAUUUCAAUGACCAUAUUGUGACUGUGAAUAAGGAUGAUAAUGAUGAUGUAGAAAUAAUAGCUGGAACUCAAAUAAAAAAUACAAACAAACUAUUGUCAUGGGAAUGUUUCAAUUUAAUACUUUUAGGACUUACCAAUGAGAUUAUUGAACUUGGCGCUAAACCCAAUAUCAAAGUAAUAGUUUUACAAAUAUGGGUCAGAUAUUUGCAACAAAUCAAAGCAGCAUUCACAUCAAAGCAAUUUAAAAAACUUCCAAAGUUAAAUGUGAUUAAUAACAUGUAAGAUAAAAAAUCAAUUAUUGUCUAAAAUAGUUUGUUAUUGAUUUCAUCACUUAUUUUAUUAAAUUAAUAUUGUUCUAACUAUAAUAUCAUCUAUAAUAUUGCACAACAAUUUUAAAUUAAAAUAGAAGUUUCUGUGGUAUUGAAUAAUAUUGUAUGAAAACCCAAUGAGUACAUUUGCAUUUUAAUAUAAAUACACUUUUUUAGUGACUGUUCAAUUUUAUAUGGUGUUGAUAAUAUAAAACACAAAAUAUUGCAAGCGAAAACCGGAAUAAAUUGCAGAGGGAGAAAACGUCGCUUAUAUAAAAAAAGAUCAUAUUUGUCUAGUGAAUCCUCAGCCACAGUUAUAACAGCUAGUCAGAAACGAAAUAGAGUAAAUACUAUUUUAAUUUUAAUAAGAUAAGACCUAUUGCACUUUCAUUUACUGUAUUUGUCUUUCAAUUGACAACAUAUUCAAGUUUGCUUCGUAAUAUUUUUUCACAAUUGAUAAAAUACAAAAUAGAGCAAAAUAAUUAACAUUAAUUAAAAAACAAGAGGGCUGAAUACAUUAUUAUCUUUAAAGAUCUUUUUGAUAUUUUAAUUAAAAGUUAUAUUCAUAUUUUAAAAAUUAAUUUUUUUGUCUUAAAAAAAUUAGUUUUAUACUUUUAACUUUAUUGUAAUUUUAGUCUAAUCACUAAACUAGAGAAUUGUUGGAUAUUAAUAGUUUCCAUAUGUUCAGUAGAAAAUAAAGAAUAUAAGUACUAAGGUAGCACGAGUAUGAUAUCUAAUAGUUUAAACAACGUUUUUAGAUUUCCAGAAAAUUACGUAGAAUGGAUAAUUCUACAAAAGAUUCAAUGACUGGACUAUCAGAUGAUGUUAGUUUAUUGCAAAGAAGUCAAAAGCCAAGUAGGAUCAAGUAAGAUGAUUAUAAAUAAAUUACAAAGUUUAUAUUAGGGUGUAUCAGGAACUUUUUUAUCAGAUAUUCUACUUCUUAUUCCUUAGAGCAGUGUCCUGUGAAUAACUAGCAGGGGUUCCAGGAAGCCCCGGAAAAAGUUAAUUAAAAUUCUACCACAGUUAACCAUUUAAUGAUAACAGUAAUGAAAAAAGCAGCAUUGGCAUGCCAUAUAUAUGCUGUGCUGCAAUGCAGUGAAUACCUAUUAAUGAUUUUUUCCUAGUUACCUAGUCAUACAUGCGCGUAUAAUAAUUUAUUACAUUUAUUUUAAUACUAUGACUACCAAUAUAAUUAAACAAAAUAGAUUAAAUUUCUUUUUAAAUACAAAAUAAUGUUUUUAUAUUUUAGGGAUCCUCAUAAAAAUGUAUUAUUAUUUGGGGUUCCUUAAUCCCAAAACAAUAUUUUGUUCAGACUUGAAAUGAUUUUUUAAGGUCUCAAGCAUUAUUUUCUAAAAAAAGAAGUAGAGUUGUUUUUGUAUUUAUAUAAGUAAUAAUUUUUAAAUUAUGAUCAUUGAAUUGAAAGUUAUCAGAAAAAGAAAAAAACUGAGGUACUGGGGGCAGGUAUGCCACUGUUAUGGGUGAGAAGGUAGGAUACAUACAUAUUUUUUUUAUAUCUGUAAGCAAUGAUAAACCAUUGCUACUGAAAAUGAUUCAAAGUCGAUUUCAAUUAUACAUGUUUUGUUGAAAGGCCAUAAUAUUUUCGUCAAAAUUUAAUAUUAAAAUUCUUAUUUAAAAAAAAAACAUUACAUUAAAAUUAUUUUUUUUUUUUUGACCACAAAGUACACCUUAUAAUAAAUCUGUUGAAUUUUGAUGUAUUUCUGAUUAAUCUAACAAUUUUAUCCACUGACAACCUACCAAAUAAUUGUUUAUAAACUCUCAAAAAUUAAAAUGUCUAUGAACAGCUCAAAAAUGGCUCAAAUUUAUUCGAAAAUUGUUCUAUUUCUAGAAAAAGUAUUUGUAAGUUUUCUGUCAAAAUUUUAAGUUUUUAUACAUUUUUAUUUGAAUAACAACAAAAUUUAAAAUAUUAAAGGUAUUAUUUUUGUAAAUCUUCCUGUUCUUUCUACAAUUUUUUUUUGGUUUUGCUUAAUUAUUAGAAAACCUAUAGGAGAAAAUUAAAAAACUACUUUUUUACUUACCAACUAAAUUAAAAAUACAGCAAAAAGGUCACUUGUUGUUUUUAAAAACACUAGUUAAAGGUGGUUUCAAGAAUUUAUUUAUCCAAAAAUUUACUUUCAAUGGCCUAAAUAUGUAGUAAAAUUUAGAAUAUUAAAUUUGGCAAAUAUGAUAAAUGUUCUUUUCUUCUGCUAAUUUUUGAUAUAUACCUUAAAACCUUUUACCUCAAAUAUUAUUAUUUAUAUUUAAAAAAAAACGCAUUUUUUCCUAAUUUGUUAAUGAUGAUAAAAUUCAUUCCUUGUUCAAAGUCUAAAAUUAGGGGACAUUAAGCUGUAUGGAACACAAUUUUAUGGAUUGAAGAAUAUCUAAUAAAAAAAAAAAAAAAAAUCCUGAAACACUAAUUUAUAUAUUUGUUUGUAUUUUCAAAACAACAUUUUGGUAUUUUAGGAUCAAAUUUACCAAAAAGGUAAAGACAACUUUAAAAUCAUUACCUUCUAAGACUGAUGAUCUUUCUACUGAAGAAACAACAAAUCUACUUAGAGAUGGAAAAAAAUGUUGGUAUAAAUUAAAAACUGUUGAA